GCCCGUUAAUGGGUGAUAGCGUGCCUUUUGUAGAAUGAACCGGCGAGUUACGAUUUGUUGCAAGGUUAAGCGGAAAAAGCGGAGCCGUAGCGAAAGCGAGUCUGAAUAGGGCGCAUAAGUAACAGGUCGUAGACCCGAAACCAGGUGAUCUACCCAUGUCCAGGAUGAAGGUAAGGUAAUACUUACUGGAGGUCCGAACCCACGCACGUUGAAAAGUGCGGGGAUGAGGUGUGGGUAGCGGAGAAAUUCCAAUCGAACUUGGAGAUAGCUGGUUCUCUCCGAAAUAGCUUUAGGGCUAGCCUCGAGGUAAAGAGUCAUGGAGGUAGAGCACUGUUUGGACUAGGGGCCCUUCUCGGGUUACCGAAUUCAGAUAAACUCCGAAUGCCAUGUACUUAUACUCGGGAGUCAGACUGCGAGUGAUAAGAUCCGUAGUCGAAAGGGAAACAGCCCAGACCACCAGUUAAGGUCCCCAAAUAUAUGUUAAGUGGAAAAGGAUGUGGGGUUGCUUAGACAACCAGGAUGUUGGCUUAGAAGCAGCCACCAUUGAAAGAGUGCGUAAUAGCUCACUGGUCGAGUGACCCCGCGCCGAAAAUGUACCGGGGCUAAACAUAUUACCGAAACUGUGGAUGAACCUCUUUAGAGGUUCGUGGUAGGAGAGCGUUCUAAGGGCGGUGAAGUCAGACCGGAAGGACUGGUGGAGCGCUUAGAAGUGAGAAUGCCGGUAUGAGUAGCGAAAGAAGGGUGAGAAUCCCUUCCACCGAAUAUCUAAGGUUUCCUGAGGAAGGCUCGUCCGCUCAGGGUUAGUCGGGACCUAAGCCGAGGCCGAUAGGCGUAGGCGAUGGACAACAGGUAGAGAUUCCUGUACCAGUGCUAAUUGUUUAACCGAUGGGGUGACACAGAAGGAUAGGGAAUCGCACGAAUGGAAAUGUGCGUCCAAGCAGUGAGUGUGAGAAGUAGGCAAAUCCGCUUCUCGCGAAGCAUGAGCUGUGAUGGGGAAGGAAAUUAAGUACGGAAGUUCCUGAUUUCACGCUGUCAAGAAAAGCCUCUAGGAAGAGUAGUACUGCCCGUACCGCAAACCGACACAGGUAGAUGAGGAGAGAAUCCUAAGGUGAGCGAGAGAACUCUCGUUAAGGAACUCGGCAAAAUGACCCCGUAACUUCGGGAGAAGGGGUGCUCUAUUAGGGUGCAAGCCCGAGAGAGCCGCAGUGAAUAGGCCCAGGCGACUGUUUAGCAAAAACACAGGUCUCUGCAAAACCGUAAGGUGACGUAUAGGGGCUGACGCCUGCCCGGUGCUGGAAGGUUAAGAGGAGUGCUUAGCUUCGGCGAAGGUACGAAUUGAAGCCCCAGUAAACGGCGGCCGUAACUAUAACGGUCCUAAGGUAGCGAAAUUCCUUGUCGGGUAAGUUCCGACCCGCACGAAAGGCGCAACGAUCUGGGCACUGUCUCAACGAGAGACUCGGUGAAAUUAUAGUACCUGUGAAGAUGCAGGUUACCCGCGACAGGACGGAAAGACCCCGUGGAGCUUUACUGCAACCUGAUAUGGAAUGUUUGUACCGCUUGUACAGGAUAGGUAGGAGCCGAAGAGACGUGUGCGCUAGCAUACGAGGAGGCAAUGGUGGGAUACUACCCUGGCUGUAUGACCAUUCUAACCCGCCACGCUUAGCGCGUGGGGAGACAGUGUCAGGUGGGCAGUUUGACUGGGGCGGUCGCCUCCUAAAGAGUAACGGAGGCGCCCAAAGGUUCCCUCAGAAUGGAUGGAAAUCAUUCGCAGAGUGUAAAGGCACAAGGGAGCUUGACUGCGAGACUGACAAGUCGAGCAGGGACGAAAGUCGGGCUUAGUGAUCCGGUGGUUCCGCAUGGAAGGGCCAUCGCUCAACGGAUAAAAGCUACCCCGGGGAUAACAGGCUUAUCUCCCCCAAGAGUCCACAUCGACGGGGAGGUUUGGCACCUCGAUGUCGGCUCGUCGCAUCCUGGGGCUGUAGUCGGUCCCAAGGGUUGGGCUGUUCGCCCAUUAAAGCGGCACGCGAGCUGGGUUCAGAACGUCGUGAGACAGUUCGGUCCCUAUCCGUCGCGGGCGCAGGAAAUUUGAGAGGAGCUGUCCUUAGUACGAGAGGACCGGGAUGGACACACCGCUGGUGUACCAGUUGUUCCGCCAGGAGCAUCGCUGGGUAGCUAUGUGUGGCAGGGAUAAACGCUGAAAGCAUCUAAGCGUGAAGCCCCCCUCAAGAUGAGAUUUCCCAUUUCUUCGGAAAGUAAGAUCCCUGAAAGAUGAUCAGGUAGAUAGGUUUGGAGUGGAAGUGUAGCGAUACAUGGAGCGGACAAAUACUAAUCGAUCGAGGACUUAACCAAAA
rnacentral:rRNA from 1 species